UUUUCCAUCGCGCAAAAGCCCUUGAUUAGUGUGUUGAAAGUAACUACAUCCGGCUGGCAAUGACCUCCCACCACCAUUUUGCUGAAAAGUCGCGCUGCAUCAGCCACUCGAUUUCGGAGAACAAAGCCGUGAAUUAGAGUGGCGAAGGUUGCAACAUUUGGUUGAAGACCCAAUUUGAAGAAGUGGGCCAAGACAGACAAGGCAUACUCCAUCUGGUUCAAAUGACAGUAGCAAUUGAUGGUAAUGUUGAGAGUACAAGCAUCAGAAGCGAUUCCCACGAGACCCAUUUGUCUCUUCAAAGAGAGGACUGCUGGAAAUUGUUUGAGUUUGACAAGUUGGGUCAAAAUUUUAUUGAAAGGGAUAACAGGAGGCAGAGGACGCGACUGAAUCAUUUCAUCGAACACCUUCAAGGCAUCCUGCACAUUACUCACCACUCUGUGCUUUGAGGGUCGAUUCCCUAGAUGGUUCUCUCUAGACUUGUUUGGCUUAGUGGGAAGAGAAUGAAACAAAGCAACAAGAGGAGUGAAGUGAAGAAAAGGCAUACCUCUUGUGGCUCUGCAGUAAGAACUAGAAGACGUGUUCGCCAUCAUUUUCAUCAUCUCUGGGUCUCGACUUUGGAAUGGGUAUCUAUGGGAUUCACUGAGAAAGCACAAGUCUUCAACACUCUCUGUAUCUCAAAUUUGCUUUGCUUUGCUUAUUGGUAGUUGCUAGUUGCUACACGCUUUUGCAGCUUAUGUACUAUCCUUCAGUCUUCUUCCUUCAGUUUUUCUUGUUCUUUCGUUUUUUUUUCUUUUUGACUUGGUGUUAACUCAGUUAUACAUUUCCUGAUUCACCAAUUCCAAUUUUCAAACAAAAAAAAAACACAAUUCCAUUUUGCAGGUGAUGGUUUGUUCCCUGUCGACUCUAAGUCUCUGGUAAAAGACCUUGAUGGACUCGAUUUCUUGUCGAAGUGUUUGUUGGCCUAAAUUACCAUAAGCCAAACUCUCUUCUGGUUUAUCAUGAUAUCGGUGGGUAUGGCGGCAUCUACUAUCACGAGGCCAAAAUGCCUUUGGUGACAUCCACUAUUUCUUCUCAUGAUGUCUUCUUGUGGAGGUUGGGAGAGUGUCUUCCUGAUGUGUUAUCAGUCACUCACCAUGAGUCUAUGACAGGUAACCCAGACAUCGGUCUACAUGAUGUAUGUCAGAGACGAGAUCUGUCAUGCUCAUAGGACGGUCUAUAAAGUCAUUGUUUAUGCUUGUAUGUAUAAGAUAUAGAUUGUAUCUACAAUAGUGAUCCGCAUAUGAUAAAUGGCUAAUAUUAAACCAGUGUACAUGAACCACUGUGCAUGUACAAGGUAAAUAACAUUUUUGUUCGGAAGCUGUUGUUAACUAUAACCCAUUACAUUAACCCAUGUGGUGCAAGUACAUGAACGCAGGCUAAGUUUGUUAAUUGGAACUCUUUUCUGGAUUAUAGCCACAUCGGUGUGCUAUAUUGUGAGACAAAAUGGCUUGGCAAAUUUCUUCCAACUCUAACGACCCCAACUGCAUCCACCAACACUUCAUUAACAAAAGCAGCCCUUUAUGCAUGGAACACACACCUCUUACAGUUAGCCCUUCAAAAUUAUGAGCGAACUUUGAGAAAAAUGAAUACAGGCAACCAUUGGAAACUGAACUUCCCUCAGAUAUCACACCAGCCAUGAAUUAAACUUCGAAACAAAACUUUCCUUGUUAUGCUACUUUCAACAUAUACAUUCAUCAACAUCUAAUACACACCAAGAAUAACUACAUAUACUGGCUCUCUAGAACAACCAAAACAUGUACACGAAAUGUUUAGAGCGAUACUUGAAAUACCAAAGUCGGGUAUAAACAGGCUUUGGUGGCGUUCUAUAAUGUUUUCAAUGUCUUUUUUUUGUUUUGUAAAAUGAAAAUGACAUGAAAACGUGUUCAUUAGCAUAUAUUCAAAAAUGCGGAAAAUGAUUUUCAAUUUUACACGUAAAACGUCAAAUUGAUGUUUUCACAUUUUCAUUUUCAUUUUUUAAAAAACAAAAAAGAAUAUUUUCUAAAUCUGAGACUCAAUAUAAAAAAGAGUACGUACUCUCUCUUCCAUCUCGUCACGCCGCGUCUCUCUCUCUCUUAGGUCUAGUCAAUUUCUUCUCUCAUUGAUCUCCUCUUCCAUCACCAGCAACUUUUAUCAACAAAAUUCUUUUUAUACUAAUUUCUUGUGCAUUCUUUUGUGCUUUUUAAUAUAUACAAAUGCUUUAGAGUUUAAGGAAGUUUAUCGCACAGUAGGAUCAUAUUGCUCUCAUGUAUGUACAGUAGGUCAUAUUCAUUCAAUUUGGUGAGACUUGAUUCUUGAAAUCUGUGCCGUUUGUUCUUUUGUAUUUGUUUGAACUAUAAUAUGAAGGUUUUUAUAUUAUGAAGUGGGGUUAAUAAUAUCAAGCUUGAUCUCUAUAUUUUCUGCAUUUUUGUAAGGUAGUACCAGACACAUAUAUGCCGUUUUCGUUGUUAGAAAUUCAUGCUAAACUACCAGACACAUUUUCAAUUCUUGAAAAUACAAUCUCGUUUUCUCUUUUUCAUUUCCAAAAAUCAUUUUCUGAAAAUUAUUUUUGAAAACGUUACCGGACAUGCCCUUAGAUUUUCUCUUGUAGCCACUUUAGAUUAGCUUUCCCAAACAUUUACAAUUAGCAAACUAGUAAGUGUAUCUGUGCAAAGACUGAUGCACAAGAAACUCUCACCAGCUGAAUAUGACGAUUUCAGCUUAAAGUCUGUACAUAACAUUACUCCAGAAUCCCCAUAACACUAUGCCGGAGCUUCUCCUCCAGAUAAGCACUCAUCAGCACACAUAAUCACAGUCAUAGGUAAGAAUUACACACUUAGACAUACCUUUCCAGGCAAAGAUUAACAAGUAAACUGGGUUGACCCGAAAUAUCGGAGUUAGAAUUUGAAAACCUUUUGAGUUUUCACCUUACAAACUGAUAUGAACUCAUAUUUACGGGUACCUACUUUUCCAUAAGAAAAAAUCACUCUAGGUAGUUGUCAUGGAGAAGCAAUUACUGCCUUAACCACUAAUGUACUAAACAGAAGGAAUAAUAAUGUGGUCAGUUAUGUGUCGUCUUACCCACUGAAUGAGUAUGACAGAUAUAUACUUGUUUCCCUUAAGUUUUCUCUCAGAUAACUAGGGAGAGUGGUUCAAGUAUUACCUGGCAAGAUUGCCAACUUCUGACUUCAUCAACCUCGCAAACAAACUAAUCGAAAUCAAACUAUUGUACAGAUCUGCAGACACACAAAUAAAGACAUAAAAGGCCCUUUUUAAAUGCACCUGGCUACGACAGAAUUAAUACUGCUAAGCUCCUCUGGCAAGACAUGAGUAAUAUGCAUCUUCCAAGAUAGUCCCAUAUGACAAUACAAAAGGCAAAAUGUCUGGAUCAUAUACAAAGUUACAAACUGACAUUGUAUCUUCAGUAGACGGAUAAAUUAAUAUCACACAUCCAACGGUAACGAUAACGAUCAUCAACUCAUAAUUCUAUAACUAGCAGCUUAUGAAUUAGCUAGAAUUAGUCCAUAGCAAAGGAAGUUUCUGAUAUAUGACAUAACACUGCUAGGUGAUUUACAAUUAGUCGCCAGAACCAGUUCAGAGGAAGAAAAGAAGCAGUCUGAGUAAACUCGGUAAAGAGAAGUCUCAGAGUUUACAGUUGAAAUAUUGAAACAGGUCUGCUCAAAUAGGUAACCCAUAAUGGCAUAAAGCUACAGAGUACAGACUCUCUAAUCUAAACCCAAUGAACCCUAUACAGACCUUCCAAUAAUCCAAUCUAAACCUAACCAUUUCAAAGCUCCACACACCCAAACAAAACAAAACCACAAAUUGCGCUACAUAUUGUUUUUUUUUUUUUUUGUUAAACUACAAUAACUAACCGUCUCAAAAAAAAAAAAAAAAAAAAAACAAAAAAGAAUUAAAAAGUAACUUUUAUUUGCUUGAACUGACCUUAAGUCAAAUCCAGUUAUCAUCAGAAACUGAGAUAUGUUGUAAUCGUAAUCCGGGGUAAUCCCACAUUUUCAACAAAGCUCAACAAGCUCUCUCAGCACCUGCCACAUGAACAAGAAGGGUGGCAACACUGUUUGCCUUGCCCGCCUGGAUACAUCCUUAUGCUACAAUUAGUCACAACAUAUAUUACAGAGAUUAUACAAGACAUUAAAUUUCAUCUAUCCCAUCAAUCUGAAGCAAAGCGCAAAAGUCAAAUAUAACUUUUAGAUCAGAUUAAUUCCUUUAUCAUACUCUGCUAAUUAACAUUAAUCAUACAGUUCCAUUAUUCAAUAAUAUACAAUUCCAGUCUGCAGAUGAUGAACUGCUACAACAAGAAAAAGCUACAUAGUGAUUAGAGAGCCAGGAUAACCUAGCAGUCCUGAAACAAGCUACAUUGGAUAACUGAUGCAUAUCCUGAUUCAAACAAGCUCCUGAAUCUGCUCUGAUGCAGCAUCCUCAUAAUUGGCAUUUUCGAUACUGCUAGUAUAAAACCACAACAAUACAUUACCCAUACAUACAGUAGGAGAGGUCCUCUGCAACAAACAGUUAGAAAGUGGACCAUGGAUAAUUCACUAGUUUAGGACACAGAUAUUAACUUUUUAAUUUCCUAGUGAAAUUGAAAAAUAUCUGUUUCAAAAUAUUCAUUUAACUUCGGACUGAAUCUUUAAGCCAUGCUAAUAAUACAGGAUCAACUUUAUCCUUCGACAACAAAUCAACAAUCAAUUCCAUAGUUGAUGCAUCUCCAGAGAAACCCCUCUCACACAUUUCUUCAAUAAGACUUGUAGCCCUCAAUGUCUCGUUGUUAAUGAUAAAACCUCGGAUAAUUGUGUUUUGUUCCAUCUCUCUAAGCAUCUCUUCAGCUUCAACUAAGAGGCCUCCUUUGCAAAGUCCACUGAUCAUUAUGGUAUAUGUCCUUACAUCAGGCUGAACUCCUUUUGGUGAUCUUGCAUCUCAGAGAACAGCUUUUCUGCUUCUUGUACUCUCCCCGCUUUAUAAAAACCAUCAAUUAGAGUGUUAUAAGUAACAGUAUCAGGAACAAGUCCCCCGAGAGGCAUUUCCUUGAAAAUCUUGUAAGACUUAUCGAUCUUUUUACUCUUGCAGAGGACGUCUUUGAAGCAUUUCGUCGAACACCUUAAAGGCAUCCUCAACAUACUCGCUUUGGGCUUCGAGGGUCGGUUUCCUAGAUGGGUCUCUCUAGAUUUGCUCGGCUUUGUGUGUAGAGAAUUAAAGAAAGCAACAAGAGGAGUAGUGAAGAAAAGGCAUAGCUCUUGUGGCUCGGCAGUAAGAACAAGAAGACGUUUUCGCCAUCAAUUUCAUCAUCUCUGGGUCUCGACUUUCGAAUGGGUAUGGGUCUAUGCCUCUAUGGGAUUGACUGAGAAAGCUCAAAUCUUCAACUCUUCGUAUCUCAAAGUUGCUGUCAGGGUGGAAACCCUAACUGGAAAGAACAGUUGGAACGAAAUUGCAAAACUAAAAUAAGAAGAAAAUGAAGGAAUGAAACUAAGCAAAUUGCAUGAGAUCCCUAAAUGCUGCCGAGCAGCUAAAUAUAGUUGUAGGAAGCUAUAAUAAUAAGAACUCUGAAGUGGUGGACUAGUCGAAGAUUUUUCGGCUUAUCUCAUUUUUCGAUCUUAUAUUCAUGUAUUGACCGUUUAAUUUAUAUGUAUUUAUGAGCAGAUUAUUUCUGUAAAUUUUCAGCCAUAUUAAAAAUCGUGAAGAUAUUUGUAAGUGUAACUUACCAAUUAUGAACUUGAACCGUUCAUGUUUGACAUAUUUAGUUUGUCCAUUAAUUUAAUUUAGUUUGUUACCUUGACGAUCACCGAUUAGUUGUAUCCACUUAACUUAACACGGUUAGUAACAACCUGUUUUGCUUAAUUAAGAAAACAUGUGCAAAGCACGUGCACACUAGUGACCAGGAAUCACAACCAAAGGAAAUAAUUCCUAAACAAUUCACUCUCUGGGGAAACAAGCCUGUCCUCAAGUUGCUGAGUUAAAAUCUGGUAACCUGGUACGACCGUUCGAAUACUCUCGGCCGCCUCCCAUAUUGCCUCCUUUUCAGAAGAACAGAUCCUUUGAAUUAACCAUUUGGUAACUGGUGUAUUGCCUUUCUAAAACAUCGUUAUUGCGAAGAUUGCAGUUGGCCAGAAGCCGAGAAGCGCUGAGAGAUUUCAAUUCUGAGUCAUAACAUGAUGUUGGUAACUGUUGCAUGCCUGCAUUGUCUUUCUAAAACAUCAUUAUUGCUAAGAUUGCAGCUGACCACAAACGCUGGGAGAUUUCAGUUCUGAGUCAUAACAUGGUGUUCCCUGUGUUAAUUUGUUUCUAAUUCUAAUAGUUUAUUUUGGAAUUUAUAUGUAUGUGUUCUGAUCUGCACGUUAUACGUCUGUAUACAUGCAUCUUCCUAUGAAAAUUAAUACUGGAAGUAAUCACUUUAUAACAUGCACACGUAUCCAAACUGUAUACACAAAAUUGUAACAGAGAUAGUGAUAGCAAACAAGGGAAAAAAAUGUAAAGGUGGCAAAGCCAUAAUGAUCUUUUCUUCAUGUGAAACUCAAUCUCCAGAGAAACCCCUCUCACUCAUUUCUUCAAUAAGACUUGUAGCCCUCGAUGUCUCGUUGUUAUUGAUAAAACCUCGGAUAAUUGUGUUAUAGGUGCAGCCAUUAGCAGAACAGCCUUUUUGCUCCAUUUCUCUAAACAACUUUUCUGCUUCAACUAAGAUGCCACCAUUACAAAGUCCCUUGAUCAUUAUAUUGUAUGUCCUUACAUCAGGCAGUACUCCUUUCGAUGACAAACCAGAGAAGACGUCUGUUGCAGAUUCAAUUUUCCCAGCUUUGAACAGAGCUCCAAUGAUAAUAUUGUAAGCUACAAUAUCUGGUUUCAACUUGUUCCCUUCCAUCUCUCUAAGCAAUUCAAUUGCCUCAGAAAGUUGUUGGUUGUUACAGAGGCCAUCAAGUAUAAUAUUAUAAGUUUGAACAUCUGCAAGUUGGCCACGAUCUUGCAUCUCAGAGAACAGCUUUUCUGCUUCUUGUAGUCUCCCAGCUUUGCAAAAACCAUCAAUAAGAGUGUUAUAGGUAAUGGUAUUAGGAACAAUUCCCCUACGAGGCAUUUCUUUGAAAAUCUUGUAAGACUUAUCGAUCUUUUUACUCUUGCAAAAUCCGUUAAUCAAAAUGUUAAAACUCUGAACUUCAACAAAGAAGCCCUUGCUAAGCAUUAGAUCAAAAACUUGUUUGCCUUGUCCAUCUCUCCUCGCAAACAGUAACCGUCCAUAAGUUCACUGUAUGUAAUGGUGUUAGGUUCAAUUCCUCUUUGAAUCAUAAUCCGAACCACACUUCUGGCUUGCACAACCAUCCCUUCCUUACAAAGGCCAUCAACGAGGAUAUUGAAAGUGAUAAGAUCUGGAAAGAUACCUUGACUGGCCAUUUCAUUCAACAAUCUCCAAGCUUCUUUCCACCUCCCAAUAUUGCAGACUCCUUGAAUCAAUGAGUUGUAAGUAAUAACGUCCGGAACAAUACCUCUACCAACCAUUUCCGAGAAGAGGUUCAAUGCUUCGUCAACCAGUGUAUGUUUACCCAGGCUGUCGAUGAUAGUGUUAUAGGACACUAUGUCAGGCUUGCAUCCAUAUUCUUCCAUUUUGCCAAGUAAUUGAAUAGCUGCAGUGUUGUUUUCCAUCGCGCAAAAGCCCUUGAUUAGUGUGUUGAAAGUAACUACAUCCGGCUGGCAAUGACCUCCCACCACCAUUUUGCUGAAAAGUCGCGCUGCAUCAGCCACUCGAUUUCGGAGAACAAAGCCGUGAAUUAGAGUGGCGAAGGUUGCAACAUUUGGUUGAAGACCCAAUUUGAAGAAGUGGGCCAAGACAGACAAGGCAUACUCCAUCUGGUUCAAAUGACAGUAGCAAUUGAUGGUAAUGUUGAGAGUAUAAGCAUCAGAAGCGAUUCCCACGAGACCCAUUUGUCUCUU
rnacentral:lncRNA from 1 species